CAGCCAGUUCCAACAAUGACCUGGUUCUGCAGAUGGUACAGUGUUGAAUUUUACAAUGGACCUGUGUGUAGCAAGAAAGAUCUUUUGGGGAAAAAACUGAGGUUUGGGGCAGUUCGUAUUUUGCAGUUUCUGAACUGGUUUGCCCAUGACUGAGUGGCUUUCUUCAGAUGUGUUCUAGAUCAGGCACGUCAGAGCACACGCUGUUGAUAACUUCAUUUGAUCACUGUUAAAUUAAAGAAAAACACAUUUGAAAUGCUGAGAGAAGAUGAAAGUUUUUAAGAAUCAAAGAACCUGGAUUCUGUGCGAGUCACCUUGUUACAUCUCUCCAAAUGUUUCCAUGUCAGCAGAAAAAAUAAGAGCAAGGCUUUCUGACCUUGAAAAGAACUGCCAGAGGGGAAGAGCUUUCAUGCAAUUUUUAAUACUCUCCCUGAAGACUUUGUUUGUUUUUUGUUUUUGAAUUGCCAUAGCAUGAUGCAGGUUUGAGCUAAUGAAUGUCACAUUCAUGUGGGGCAGCUCCAAAAAUAAAAGACCUUGAUUGACUGAA